rnacentral:rRNA from 1 species
GGGCCCGCACAAGCGGUGGAGUAUGUGGUUUAAUUCGAUGCAACGCGAAGAACCUUACCAGGGCUUGACAUCCCGGGAACCCUGCCGAAAGGUGGGGGUGCCCUUCGGGGAGCCCGGAGACAGGUGGUGCAUGGCUGUCGUCAGCUCGUGUCGUGAGAUGUUGGAUUAAGUUCCGCAACGAGCGCAACCCUCGUGCCCUGUUGCCAGCGGGUAAUGCCGGGCACUCAGUGCAGACUGCCGCAGCAAUGUGGAGGAAGGUGGGGAUGACGUCAAGUCAGCAUGCCCCGUACGCCCUGGGCUACACACAUACUACAAUGCGAGGAGCAGACGGAUGCCAACCCGCGAGGGGGAGCUAAUCCGCGAAGGCCUCGCUCAGUGCAGAUUGCAGGCUGCAACUCGCCUGCAUGAAGGCGGAAUCGCUAGUAACCGUCGGUCAGCAUUACGACGGUGAAUACGUUCCCGGGCCUU